GGGGAAGAGGAAAUGGGUAGGGAUUUAUGCCUUUUGUACCACCCCAUCCUCCAUCUUUCUUGUAAGCACCCAGUGAUGUCCACGAAGAAUAACCUGCCCGCCUCCCCGGCCGCCGGCCACGGCUUCUGCGCCAGCACCUUCAUUCCGGAGCCCGAGGAGUCACUGUGCCACCCAUUGCACCACUACGUGGCGGCGGGCCUGCAGGCUUCCCCUCAUUCCCGGCGUCCACGUGUCCUUCCGAAUCAGCUUCCGCCCGCGCUCCAGGGUGAACCCUAGGGCCACUGCAUUCUGCAUGACGUCGGAGCACGCCGUCUACGGCUCUCAAGCGCUGACGGGCCACCGGCGCAUGCGCAGCUCUCACAGCUCAGUGAGCCCUGCGUGGUGCAUGGAGCCAUCGAGCGGCGUGCGAAGCAUGCGCGUCAGGUCUGACAUGCGCAGUGGUUUUCCUCUUUUACCCCUCCGCACUCUGCGGCGGCUUCUCAGGCUCGAGGGCUGAGGUCUUUGGCGGAGCAGUGACGGGACUCUGAAGCUGGGAAAGGCAUUGUUCUUGUCCUUGCUUGGGGGUUGAGCAUCAUCUGGGCAGCUCCUGCAGGCGGGCUUCUGCAGGAAGGGGCUGGACGAAGGCUACCUCCCAUCAGGGAAGCCGGCACCUGCUCCUGUGUCACAGGCCGCGCAGCAGCCCUUUCUGUUGCUCACAACGGGCUCCCCGCUGCUCUCGUGGGCCUGCAGCUGCCAGCGAUCUCCUCCGGGCUGGUGCAGAAUGUGCUCCAGGAUAGCCUCGCGCUCGUGCAGGCAGCAUUUGGCUCGACAACAGGGUCGUGGCAAGGUCGCAGAGUUGCAGCCGCCGUCGAAAUUGUAGACUUCAGUCCGGCUCUGUUAGAAGGUCUGGGUCCCGAGGCCUGAGGCCGCUGUGUCCCUCUCAAGGGCUUUAUUUUUGGACUCGAGUGCGGUAAUUGAAGAUUUCUGCUUCUGGCUAUGAUGGAUUAGUUUGCAGCUGACCAAACUGAAAGCCAAGAACACAAGAAACGGUAAAUACAAUGAGAACACAUUUUUGAAGGUACCAGAGAGUUAUCAAGGCAGUUAGAACGUGUACAGCCAAGAACCUGGAGAGAAGGAAAACACAUUGGAGGACAAGAGAGAACCUAAAUGAGACACGUACCUGGUGCGUUUUAUGAAAUGCCACAAACGUGACUCAGAACCAAAGCGGAUCGAUCGCCUUACGUGUGUGCAGAUGGCAGUGGAAUUCUAGUCAUGAACCUUCUGGCCUCCUUGGGAAAGAGCCUGAGCUGGCCCACUGGGGUAUGAGAGGGAGAAGCGUAGCCAGACCACCCGUGGGAGGAGAGGUGCCUCGCUGACCCACAGGUGCUCUACACAGAAGAGAGAGGCCAGCUGAGACCAGAGAGCUGCCCAGCUGGCCUGUAGACUAGUAUUUUAUGGCUGACAGCAGAAGAGUUAGCAUUACCUGUCUGCUUGAUGAUUGAAGGUGUGCAUUCACCUAACUGACACAUUAGGGUAAGUCACAGGUAGCUGAAAUAUUUCUGACCUUCAAAUCUAAGGAACCCAUAAAAAGAUUCAAGAUUCUAUCAUCUUUACAUGAACCAGGAUUUGGCAUACCUUUGAUCUAGUAGAACACGUGGAGUGUUGAAUCAAGAACGCUCUGUAGCAAAGACCAGAGAUCGAAACCUUGUACUUGGUGUAACACAAGCAACAGAAGGCAGGUGAAGAUGCCCAUGAAUGCCGCUGGAUGCAGGACACUGACCAUGCCUAAUGCUAAGGCUGACCUGGCUUUUGCAGUUAAUGGAGCUAAUGUGCAGAGCACUAUUUGCUUUUCUGUGCUCCAUACCCGUCACCGUCAAGUGAUUAAUAAUGUUGAAAAAUAUCAACAUUCGUGUGAAAGUUAAGAACACGUCAGAAGGCUGAUAGCCCCUUCAAAGUCCCCUGAGAGGAGAGGAAGAGAGGAGUGAUUGAACUGGAUGGAGACACCAGUGUUCAGUAAUGUUGAAAUCAGAAUAAUUUCAAGAGCAGGCUCGCUUUGGCUGCACGUGUACUAAAGUUGGAACAGUACAGAAAGAUUAGCGUGGCCCCUCAGCAAGGAUGAUGUGCAGAUCCAUGGAGACUAGUUUCAGGAGCUAAAUCAGAGUGUUGUGAAUAGUCAUAGAAGCAAUAGCGAAGAGCAUCUGUCACGGAGAAAUGAGCGGUCCUUGGCCACAGCACAUAAAGCUGCUCCAUGGAGCUGGGGAGCGUGCCCUGUGGUCUGUGCAGGGGCUGAAAAUGUCAAGACUUGAGAAGGACUCGUCUCCUCUGUUCCCUUCAGGAUGUUUUAAUGAUUACCAUGUGAUUACAGAUACACUGUUUUCUUUUACUUCUUGAAAGACGUGGGGAGAUUAAAGCAAACAGACAACUGAUACCAAAUUGCUAAAUUAAAGGAGGAAGCUCCCGUGAACUCUGGGCUGGACGCCGUCCAGAAGGGGGUCUACCUUGCUGUGACAGGCCUUGAGUCAUCCGCUCCUCUGGCCGGGCCCGUCAUUCCGGAAUCUCUAAAAUGCUUCUAUGAGAGAUGCGGCUCCAUAGGUCAACUUGUCUUCUACACCAAGAUUGCUUUUUGGGUUCAGAGGGAUGAAGUGAAGACUCCCAGCCCCUGCACAUCCCUGCUGGAGCCUUAUGUACAAUAUACAACCCAGACAGACCAGGUGUAGCAUGCUAAAAAAUAAGUGCAGAGUUAAGUUUUGAUCAAUGGAGCGAGAAGAAAUGGAUGCCACAGGAGAAAGGAUCUAACGCUCUCCCGGUGAAUUGAGAAAGGCAGGUACACAAUUUGUGAAUGACUAAAGAGAUCUGACUGUACCAUGGAAACCUCAUUGUUGACUUCUGGCCAAUCGCGAGUAACUUCGGUAUCUAAUUCAGAAAAGAAUGGUCUCUUGCUCUGGCCAAAGCAAAAGCUGCAGCAACAUUAAUGGAAGACAGACUCUGUUCUAGGCUAUUUACAACAGGGGACAGGACAACACUCAACUCAAUGUCACUGAGCUCAACUUCACUGAAGUUGAAUGAGGGCAGAAAAGAGUUCCUUGCUUUGAAAUACAUGAAGAUCAGAAAAGUGCCCUCAGGCAAAGAAGAUGCAGCUUUUUAAGAAAAGGAUCCAAUUUGGGAAGGAGGAACAGUGCUUCCAUGGCCACACAGAGCCCCAGCCAGACAACCUAGGACCACAGAGGAAAAAUUGCCUUGUUAAAGAGUCGUAAACUUUGAGUGACCCCACAUAUGCGAGGCUGGCAUUGGACCUGACUGAAGACUCUUUCCUGACCAAGGAGCAUGAGGAUUUGCGUUAACUAAUCCUGAACAGACCAAUGGAGACCUCCUGCCUGUCCAGAGGGAUAGUUCUCGAGCCUUAAUGGGCUCAUCUGCCAUGAAAUCCCCUGCCUGACUUCCCCCCAUCUAACACCUCAGUGGGAUUCUUCACAGAGCUGAUUACUCAAAUCAUUCCAUGUGCUAGCACUUGUAUGUGAAUGGAGGAGUUCUUCAAGCUCUUAUCCCCAGGGAUGCACGGGCACAAGCCAGCACCAACAGAAGUCGGAGUCAUGAGUGCCACCAUGAGAAAGGGAUGUUAUACCCUCCCUUCCUAAAAUAACUCUUCCUCCGGCAGGCUGAAGCCCUGCUGAAGCAUGGAGGCUACACACAGAGCCAGAACAAGGCCAGGUGCCUAGUGAGACUCUGGAACUCAUCAGCUUCCCUGGCUAGCUUGUCAUAUAUUCUUGACAAGUUCCAAAGCCAAGAUAUGCCUGGCGUGGGAAGAGACACUCGGGAAACUGUAUCUGCAGGUUUGGAGCCUCCCAGAGACUAUACAUGUUAUAGCUCUGGUCUCAUACCCAUCGAUAACUAUGCAUCAGGCUGGCGCUGGGCAAAAUGAAACCAUCUUUCAGAAGCAGUAGGAAUGAUAAAGGUAAAUGCAACUUUAGAGGAGUUAAAUGACCAUUGGAGCAACUCAUCUCCGUAACAGCUUUGAGAUAUAAUUGGCACACAGCAAACCACGCACAUUCAGACUUUUGGCCCACAUAUACACUUGGGAAACCAUCACCACAAGCAAGAAAAUGGAUACAUCUUGUUUCAUACUGCUGACCCAAACCAUGAUAGAUACUGUGGUGUGAGGCGCUCCCCACAUUUGGGCCCCUCAUGUAAUAUUGCAAUCUACAGGUCAAGAAAAGACUCAAAGACAGCAAAGCUCAGGUACUGUACAAGGGACCCAAUGGUGGUCAAGAUGCCCACGUGCCUCAAAAGAAAGUUUAGACUAAGGGGAAAAUUAUAAAGAAAGAAGAAAAAAGUAAUAAUGGGUGUAGUAUGCUGGAUGGAGUUGCUUAUUUCUGUUGAAAAGGCAGGAUGAUAUGGGGCGCCUGGGUGGCUCAGUCGGUUGGGCGUCCGACUUCACCUCAGGUCAUGAUCUCAUGGUUCGUGAGUUCGAGCCCCAUGUCGGGCUCUCUGCUGACAGCUUGGAGCCUGGAGCCUAUUUCGGAUUCUGUGUCUCCUUCUCCAUUCCUCCCCUGCUCACACUCUCUCUCUCUCUCAAAAAUAAAUAAAGAUUUUUAAAAAAUUUUUUAAAAAAGGCAGGAUGAUAAAGGAAGCAAUGGCAAAGAUCCUCAGUAGGGUGUUGGUGGCAAAAUCUUGUGGCCUGAAAGAUGCAAAACCAACUUUAGCUCUGCCUGUGACACCCACAAACCUUCACAGCACCUUCACAUUCACUGCAUAUCACCUAAUAUGGAUAAGCAUAAAUCCAAUUAUAUAAAUCCAUGAUUUGGAAUGGAAAAUACAUAAAGAAGGACAGAAUUUAUUCCCUAGUUAAAACGGUAACAUUUUUAAAGGAAACUGAGGGUUUGGGAUUUGCUCACCCAACUCUCAGGAGAGCAAUUGAAGGAACUAGAAAUUAUGUGGGUGGAGUGGCCUCUGGGAAAUAACUAAAAUAUUUAGAAUGAUUGCCCUUGGGACCCAGUGUAUCAUAAUCCCCAUGGGGGGUGGAUGGGACACCCAAGAGGACUUUAAGGUGAAACUAUCAACAUGCCAUGAUAGAUAAUACCAGAUAAAGGUUAAACUCUAAUUUGGAAAACUUGAUGAGAGAAGGUUUUCGCUGGUUGCAUCACCUUUAUUAAAAUGCAUAAUUGGGAUGGGUGCCAUGUGUACAUGGAGGACGAUGUCUCUCCCAUUAUUAAAUUGUCUUCCAUGUCUGCCUUCAGCCUGGUCUCAACUGAAAUACUAAAUGAGAAUCUUUGCAAUUCCCAAGCCCUCCUCUGUAGAAAAUAUUAAACAAUAUAAAAUUCCAGGAGUGCAAGAGGAGAUUAAUGCUUUAGUUAGCAUUAAUGGUUGGAGCAGGCGUAUUGAUCUCCAUUAAUUCUCUUUUUAACAGCCCUUUCAAGCCAAAAGGCAAAGCAGAUGAUUUGCAGAUACUGAUAGUAGACGAUUGGGAAUUCAUCUAGGUAGGUCUACCAGUUGCUUCAGAUGCAUUGUAGAUAUGAUUUCAAAAAAACAAAAACAAAAAACUUUGCACCAAAAGGCAAUGGGCCAAAGGAGACUAGUAUGUAAUAUCGAUUUAGUUCAUGUUUGCUCUUCUAUUUUUAUUUCAGAAGCUAGUCAAGUACAAUUUGUGUUCAUGUGUUCACCAGUCACCAUCUAGUGUAGCUUCACAUGGUCUUAAUAACCAUUAAGACUAAGGUGGCGGGCAUCUGGGUGUCUCAGUUGGUUAAGCGUCUGAUUUCAGCUCAGGUCACAGUCUCACAAUUUUUGAGUUCGAGCCCUGCAUCAGGGUCUGUGCUGACAGCU